UACAGAGGGGGCAAGCGUUGUUCGGAAUUACUGGGCGUAAAGGGCGCGUAGGCGGCCUGCUAAGUCGAACGUGAAAUCCCUGGGCUCAACCCAGGAACUGCGUCCGAUACUGGUUGGCUUGAAUCCGGGAGAGGGAUGUGGAAUUCCAGGUGUAGCGGUGAAAUGCGUAGAUAUCUGGAGGAACACCGGUGGCGAAGGCGACAUCCUGGACCGGUAUUGACGCGUGAGGCGCGAAAGCCAGGGGAGCAAACGGG
rnacentral:rRNA from 1 species